rnacentral:rRNA from 1 species
CAGCCGCCGCGGUAAUACGUAGGGUGCGAGCGUUGUCCGGAAUUAUUGGGCGUAAAGAGCUUGUAGGCGGUUUGUCGCGUCUGCUGUGAAAAUUCAGGGCUUAACCCUGGACGUGCAGUGGGUACGGGCAGACUAGAGUGUGGUAGGGGAGACUGGAAUUCCUGGUGUAGCGGUGGAAUGCGCAGAUAUCAGGAGGAACACCGAUGGCGAAGGCAGGUCUCUGGGCCAUUACUGACGCUGAGAAGCGAAAGCAUGGGGAGCGAACAGGAUUAGAUACCCCCGUAGUCCCUGUCUCUUAUAC